ACUAUAUAAUUCAUCCCUUUUGACCCCUGUGUUUAGAACGACUCAGGGUUAAACUGUCAACCCUAAUUAGAUCAUCCGAAUCAUGCUCAACUCAAUCAGUCCUGUGACUCCUCACUAGGACUACCCUGACCAAGGUUUCGCUAAAUUAAAACACGACUAUACGCAGCUCCUGAACUGGAGUGGUCAAUCCCAUCUUGACACACGCACCGACAAGUCAAGUACUUGACUACACCCAGCAACCUUCCGUACUGAAUUAGAAAUUCAGGUAGUCCAGUGCCUAAGUAUAGUGGGUUGCUUACAAGUCACC
rnacentral:lncRNA from 1 species